rnacentral:rRNA from 1 species
AGUCACUGACAUUAGAUACCCGCGUAGUCCAGGGUGUAAACGCUGCAGACUUGGUGUUGGAAGUCCUUUGGGGGCAUUCAGUGCCGGAGAGAAGUUGUUAAGUCUGCUACGUUGGGAGUACGUCCGCAAGGAUAGAAACUUAAAGGAAUUGGCGGGGGAGCACCGCAACGGGAGGAGCGUGCGGUUUAAUUGGAUUCAACACCGUAAAACUCACCAGGGAAGACUGUUACAUGAAGGCCGAGAUGAAGACUCUGCUAGAUUUUCAG